rnacentral:misc_RNA from 1 species
UUGAUAAGCGUGAGGUCGGAGGUUCAAGUCCUCCCCAGGCCCCACCAAAUUACCUAUCCAUUUGCCUUUAUCUGUUUAUUUGCCGAUUUAUCGGUCCAUUGAAUUUAAGUGUUGGUAGCAGUUUUAUAAUGAUGAGAAAUCAUGCUUAUAAAAGAACUCCUUAUAAAAGGCUUGUUUUUAAAAUGUGACGCUUAUCCAUUUCGCUUAGGCAAGAGAAACUUCAAGCGGUUCAAAUACAAAAGGCUUUAAGUUUUGCAAAACACUUUGAAUUUUGCAAAACACUUUGAAUUUUGCAAAACACUUUGAAUUUUAAAGUGAUCCAAGUUCGUGAUCUCGAAUUUAAAAGUUUCGAAUGCUUUAUCCUUUUUUGGGGGCCGUAGCUCAGCUGGGA